rnacentral:rRNA from 1 species
GAGUAACGCGUGGGUAACCUGCCUCACACAGGGGGAUAACAGUUGGAAACGGCUGCUAAUACCGCAUAAGCGCACAGUACCGCAUGGUACAGUGUGAAAAACUCCGGUGGUGUGAGAUGGACCCGCGUCUGAUUAGCUAGUUGGCAGGGCAACGGCCUACCAAGGCGACGAUCAGUAGCCGACCUGAGAGGGUGACCGGCCACAUUGGGACUGAGACACGGCCCAAACUCCUACGGGAGGCAGCAGUGGGGAAUAUUGCACAAUGGGGGGAACCCUGAUGCAGCGACGCCGCGUGAGCGAAGAAGUAUUUCGGUAUGUAAAGCUCUAUCAGCAGGGAAGAAGAAAUGACGGUACCUGACUAAGAAGCACCGGCUAAAUACGUGCCAGCAGCCGCGGUAAUACGUAUGGUGCAAGCGUUAUCCGGAUUUACUGGGUGUAAAGGGAGCGCAGGCGGAAGGCUAAGUCUGAUGUGAAAGCCCGGGGCUCAACCCCGGUACUGCAUUGGAAACUGGUCAUCUAGAGUGUCGGAGGGGUAAGUGGAAUUCCUAGUGUAGCGGUGAAAUGCGUAGAUAUUAGGAGGAACACCAGUGGCGAAGGCGGCUUACUGGACGAUAACUGACGCUG